ensembl:lncRNA
CCAGCCGGCUUGAAUUGCUUUCAGUUCCUCAAACUGCUCUGCUCAGUCUCCUAAUUCCCUCUGCCUUCUGAGGCACAGGGAGGAUAAGUCACUUGGUCACAGCAAGUUAGAACCACCUGGACUCAAGAGGAGACCUCCAGGCUGGAAGCUCUUACACUUCAUCCCUGUGACAGAAGAUCCUGUGAUGACAAAGCAGAACAGAAAGAAACUGGAAGAUGCUACGCUGCUCCCUUUGGAGAUGGAAGAGUCAUGAGCCAGGAGAUGCAGGAAAAGCAGCCCCAGGAAACGAAUGCAACGACUGAACCAGCCCAUCCCCGACCAACGGCUCAAUAGCUGUGGUUCAGGACACCUGACACCUGGCGGGCACAUCUCCAAGCCCCGGCCCAUUGCAACCCAUCCCUGGGGACACCUGGAGCCGGGAGCACACAGAAGGGCUCGCCUGGUCUCAAGGAUCAGGGGAGACCCCCCUGAGCUUGAGCGCACUUCAGCGUAGGCUGGGAGGAGAGGGCAAGGAACGGUGCCCAACAAGGAGCAAGCGAGUACAGACGCCAGGAGGCAAGAGAAAGCUCAGUCAUCUGAGGAACUGAAAUGACUCAGUGUGGCCUGACUUUGAGGGAGAAACGGUAGAAGCCCUGUGAUGCGGUGGGUCGGAGGGUGGGCUCCGUGGGUGCUUGGGCGUGAGGCCGUGCCUUGCUGUGUCCCAAGUGUGUGAUUUGGGCAAGCAGCUUGACCUCUCUGAGCCCUAGUUUCCUCACCUGACUGAUGGUAUUUUAUGUAUCUGUUGUCUUUAUCUUCAUUUCUUUAAAAAUUUUUAUACUUUUUAUACCAAUUUUAAAGGCUACUUUCCAUUUAUAGUUACUACAAAAUGUUGGCUUUAUUCCCUGCAUUGUACAGUAUAUCCCUGAGCCUAUGUUACUGUCGAUCAUUUCUAUAACGUCCCCCACCCCCAACCUGAUGGUACUUUCCUCACAGGGUUCUGUGAGGUGUAAGUGUAUCUGCAACAGUCGGAACAGUGUCUGGCAGAGGAAGGAUCGGUAAGUCUGCCAUUGACGCCUACCCCUAUCAACAGCAAGGCGGCUGAUUUCUCUUUUAUUGGGAAAGAGCGCUGCGCGAAGGUUUUCUGGAUACUGAUGGUGAUGAUGAUGACAGCUACCGCUUCCUGAUCACCUGCUGUGUUCAGCCCUCAUUACCUACCCGAUUUUGUAAAUGUGAGGUGGGUAUUACUGUUAUUCCUGCAUAACUCAGAUUUGAACCUGGGUCUGAGCCUAGAGGCUUCCCAGGUGGCUCAGUGGUAAAGAAUCUGCCUGCCAAUGCAGGAAACUCGGAUCUGAUCCAGGAGUGGGGAAGAUGCCCUGGAGAAGGAAGUGGCAACCCACUCCAGUAUUCUUGCCUGUAAAAUCUCGAGGACAGAGGAGCCUGGUGGGCUCCUGUCCGUGGGGUCGCAAAGAGCUGGAACACGACUGAGUGACUGGGCACUGAGUCCAGAAUCUCUGCCUUGCCUGGACUGCCUAUGUUUUCCUGGGAGGCAGUAUGGGGCUGUGAUCCAGGGAAGGGGCCCUGGAGUCAGCCCUACUAAUAGCAUGCUUGGUUAACAUCUCAGUUAACCAAGUUCUACUUCAUGGGGCCUCAGUUCCUACUUCAUGGGGUUGUGUAAGAAUUAAAUGUGUCAAAAUGUGUUAGCACCCCAGUGAGCUGUUGCUGUGAUUAUCAAUGUUGUCACCAGAGAAGUUUUGCAUUGUAGAAAGCCACAUGGUCCAGUAGACUCCCUCUGGUCCUAACCAAUCUGGGAUUGAAUGGCUGGUCAAUCAUCAACGCCAACAGAGGUGCAAACUUCUCACACUUGGAGAAUGAGGGGCCCUCAGAGACCUCGUUACGCUGGGCCAGCCAUGUUCUGAUUGUUCUCUUGUAACCUCUCAAUGAGCUUCUGUAGCCAAAAGCUUUCCCUCUGCUUAGCAAUACUAAGGCUAAUGCUCUGGUUACUGCCAGCCCUUCCCCUCCCCUCAUUUCUAAAGAUCUAUAUGGAGCUUUUGAACAGGGGAUUGACCUCCAGCUAUUUUGGAAGGGCCUGUCUUCUAUCCGGACCGAUUCUGGUCUGAGCUGAGAGUGUAUUUACUGGCCAAAGUCUGCUCCAAAGUAAACACGCCGUCACAUUCCUCACAGCCUGUAACCUCCGUGGGGAGAAGCUGGGGGCCGUCAUGGAGCGAGGAAACCUUAUCUGACUUCGUUUCAGCAGGAUUCCACUUAGCUUCACUUGGUGGGGUGGGGGACACGGGGGAAAAAAGGGAACAGAUAGUCUUAAAAUGAGCUGAAUUAAAGAGCAUGUUGGAUGCAUUCCCUGCAAUGACAGGUAGAGACUAGAUUUAGAAGUGAAGGAGCACACGUUUUAAUGUGGUGUGCCUUUGCUUCUUUUUUACCCAUAAACAAAACGGAUCUGUUUUCUUUCCUUCCUUCCUCCAUUCUCCCCUUCUCCUCUCCUUCCUUCCCUUCCUCCUCCCCUCUCUUGUUUUCUUUUUCUCCCUUCUCUUUCCUUUAUGAUAUACUUAGAGUACCAGCCACACAUACCUGUCCUCUUGUUGGUGUCUAGUCUCUAAGUUGUGUCUGACUCUUUUGUGACCCCAGGGACUGUAACCUGCCAGGCUCUUCUGUCCAUGGGGAUUCUCCAGGCAAGAAUACUGGAGUGGGUUGCCAUGCCCUCCUCCAGGGGAUCUUCCCGAUCCAGGGAUCAAAGCCAGGUCUCCCGCAUUGCAGGUGGAUCCUUUACCAUCUGAGCCACCAGGAAAGCCAUAUAUAAAAAAAUAUAUAUAUGUAUAUAUCAUAUAUACACAAAUAUAUAUAUUCAUGAUGCCAGUACUACAAUCAAAAUGGAGACCACAUCCAUCACUCCAAAAAAUUUCCUCAUACUUUUUUGUAACCUCUCCCUUCCAUCCCUUCCCACUUUCCCCCUGCAUCCCCAGGCAUACCCUGAUCUGCUUUCUGUCACUAUAAAUAGCUUGCAUUUUCUAGAGGCUUACAUAAGUGAAAUGACACAGCAUGUAUUCUUUUGUGUCUAGCUUCUUUCACUGAGGUUACUUAUUUUGAGAUUCAGCUGCGUUGUGCGAGUCAGAUCCUUAGUUUCUGCUGUUGGGUACUGACUAGUUCAUUGUACGGAUGUACCACAGUGCAUUCAUCAAUUCACCUGUUAAUGGACCUUUGGGUUGUUUCAGUUUGGGGCAGUUACAAAUAAAGCUGGUGCAAACAUCCAAGUACAAGUCUUUUUAUGGACACAUGCUUUUAUUUCCCUUGGGUAAUUACCUAGGAGUGAAAGAGCUGGAUCAUAUGUUUAAUUUUUUCAAGAAACUGCUUUCCAAAAUGGGUUGACCAUUUUACAUUCCCACCAACGAUGCAUGUUACAAAACAGAGAAACAU